rnacentral:rRNA from 1 species
UACGGAGGGGGCUAGCGUUGUUCGGAAUUACUGGGCGUAAAGCGCACGUAGGCGGCUUUGUAAGUUAGAGGUGAAAGCCCGGAGCUCAACUCCGGAAUUGCCUUUAAGACUGCAUCGCUUGAAUCAUGGAGAGGUGAGUGGAAUCCCGAGUGUAGAGGUGAAAUUCGUAGAUAUUCGGAAGAACACCAGUGGCGAAGGCGACUCACUGGACAUGUAUUGACGCUGAGGUGCGAAAGCGUGGGGAGCAAACAGG